UGUGAACUGACAAGCCCGUGGAUGUCUACAAAGAGUGAACUGAUCACUGUGGGCUGGCCUUUGAGGCAUCAGCAAGGCGUUGUGGCUCUGGAGACCUGGAAGCACCACUAACUGUUCUCCUGAUUUUCUGAUGCUCAGCCACAUCAACCUGUCAUGCUAGUUGUGAGGAGAAGUCAAGGACAGUGACACAGCCAGCCAGUCUGAGGGGUUUUCCAUCAUCCUGAAGGAGUUGCCCUAUCCUGCUUUUCACUGGAGGGGGCAUGGAUGGGGACCCUGGAUGACAAAGCAGUCACCUACUUGAACACUACUAAUUAUGAUGUCAGAAAGAGGAAAGUUUGCAGAGUUUUGUAUUGGCAAUCAAACAUUCAGCCACAGGUCACAGUCUAGAACCAGACACAUCAGUGUCCUGAACUGCAAAGUAGCCAGGAAGCAGCAUCCCAUAACACAGUCCUAUGUCCACUGCUUUGGAGGGGCUCUUGACACACUGACCUCUGUCAGUUCCUUCAGCACACCAGGCUAAUCCCCAGUCUUGUGCCUUUGGACCAGGGGUUUUCUUUGCUCAGAAUACUGUUUCAACAGAUCUUUGCAUAGCUGGCUCUUGCUAUUUGUCUAAAAUGGCAAUCCUCAGAGAGGUACUCCUUAAAUAUCCAAUCUUAAG
rnacentral:antisense_RNA from 1 species